AAGAUGAGAUUUCCCAAUUAGUAAGACCCCUUGAAGACGACGAGGUAGAUAGGUUGGAGGUGGAAGUGCAGCAAUGCAUGGAGCUGACCAAUACUAAUCGGUCGAGGGCUUAUCCAA
rnacentral:rRNA from 1 species